rnacentral:rRNA from 1 species
AUACGGAGGAUGCGAGCGUUAUCCGGAUUUAUUGGGUUUAAAGGGAGCGUAGGUGGGAUAUUAAGUCAGCUGUGAAAGUUUGGGGCUCAACCUUAAAAUUGCAGUUGAUACUGGUUUCCUUGAGUACGGUAUAGGUGGGCGGAAUUCGUGGUGUAGCGGUGAAAUGCUUAGAUAUCACGAAGAACUCCGAUCGCGAAGGCAGCUCACCGGGCCGGAACUGACACUGAUGCUCGAAAGUGCGGGUAUCAAACAGGAUUAGAUACCCUGGUAGUCCGCACAGUAAACGAUGAAUACUCGCUGUUUGCGAUACACUGUAAGCGGCAAAGCGAAAGCGAUAAGUAUUCCACCUGGGGAGUACGCCGGCAACGGUGAAACUCAAAGGAAUUGACGGGG